AGGGAGGUGGCUCAGUGGGUAGAGUGCACACCUUGCAUGUGUGAGGUCUUAGAUUCAUUUCCAGGUACCCUA
rnacentral:tRNA from 1 species